GAAGGAGAAAAAGUAGUCAUGAAGUAUUGGAUUUUUGAGAAUGACCUUAUGCGUGAUCACCCUUUCCAGUUGAAGAUCAAAAGGAAUGAGGUGAAGACCACUUAGGAGAUGUUGAUCAUGGCACAAUCCUACAUGAUCUUAGAGGAGAAGUUGAAUUCAUUCUUUGUCCUACAUGAUCUGAACGUAUCUUAAGAAAGUAUUUACCAAGAUUAAGAAAAUAUAGAAUUUAGGAAAUGCCGAGUUAGACCCUUUAUCAUGUCAGAGAUACAUCUCGUAUUGAC
rnacentral:lncRNA from 1 species